GAUGAACGCUAGCUACAGGCUUAACACAUGCAAGUCGAGGGGAAACGGCAUCGAAAGCUUGCUUUUGAUGGGCGUCGACCGGCGCACGGGUGAGUAACGCGUAUCCAACCUGCCCAUCACUUGGGAAUAACCUUGCGAAAGUAAGACUAAUGCCCAAUGACAUCCCACGAAGGCAUCCGAAUGGGAUUAAAGAUUUAUCGGUGAUGGAUGGGGAUGCGUCUGAUUAGCUUGUUGGCGGGGUGACGGCCCACCAAGGCAACGAUCAGUAGGGGUUCUGAGAGGAAGGUCCCCCCACAUUGGAACUGAGACACGGUCCAAACUCCUACGGGAGGCAGCAGUGAGGAAUAUUGGUCAAUGGGCGAGAGCCUGAACCAGCCAAGUAGCGUGCAGGAUGACGGCCCUAUGGGUUGUAAACUGCUUUUAUAAGGGAAUAAAGUGGGUCACGUGUGACUUUUUGCAUGUACCUUAUGAAUAAGGACCGGCUAAUUCCGUG
rnacentral:rRNA from 1 species